CGAUGAUAUUAGAUCAUCGUGAUAGGCACAUAACAAUAAUGCUGUAAGAUGUCAUCCAUUGUAAUAUCGCCGUGACGUGACAACGGCGAUAUUACAAUGAAAGCUGUGACGUCAUCCCGAAUUCGGCCAUCACUGAAUGAUUUAAAUGGUAUAUACGAUGUCAUCUCAAAAUGCCCCAUCCCCUGAUAACCUACGUUAUCAGUGGGAUUGCGGAAGUUUCCAUGCAAGCUCACUACCGAGUGGUCAAACCGUGCGAAAUUUUUGCGGACAGUACAGAUUUAUCAUUUGGAAUCCAUUGGUUUUUGUGUCCAAUUUUAAUGGUGAUUUAAUUGGUAUAGUCAUUACGACAGGUACGAUAAAUAUGCCAUAUAUUACCUCCAUACUGCUAACACUUAGCGCCAGUUAUUAUCAAAAAUAUAAAAUUUGAAUAAAAAUUAAAUAUAGAUCUUACAUAAUUAAAUUAUCCAAUGAAAUGACCAUUAGUUGUAGAAUAUCACUACAAAAUAUGAAAAUAUACAAUAAUUAGUUCAAAAGUUAUCAGUG
rnacentral:lncRNA from 1 species